rnacentral:rRNA from 1 species
UACGUAUGGGGCAAGCGUUAUCCGGAUUUACUGGGUGUAAAGGGAGCGUAGGUGGUUUGGUAAGUCAGAUGUGAAAGCCCGGGGCUCAACCCCGGUAGUGCAUUUGAAACUGCCAAACUAGAGUGCAGGAGAGGUAAGUGGAAUUCCUAGUGUAGCGGUGAAAUGCGUAGAUAUUAGGAGGAACACCAGUGGCGAAGGCGACUUACCGGACUGUAACUGACACUGAGGCUCGAAAGCGUGGGGAGCAAACAGG